AGUUAGUUUCCUAGGAGGAGCUUAUACAUAGAUCAUAAUACAUUGGAUAAUUAGUUCCAAACCGGCAUAUUUUCACUUAAAUUCUGACGUGUUCUGUGAAAAAUGUCAAUGUCAUAACGUCGAAGUCAAAACUAUAGAUAAGCAUCGAUUAGAUGAAAAAGAUUAGAGGUAUUCCGAAAUCCGUGUAAAAGGUGUUCCAAAAAGGUGUAACAAAAGGUAAUUCAUCGUCUAUACAUGCCAAACAAAGGCGACGAAUUGCAUCACUCGGGAUGGAACGCCUGCUCCAGUUGUUUCGGGGAUCCCAGCAAAAGCAGGAACCGGCUGAUCCUGCCGUGCAUCAAUGGUGACCGAGUUUAUGUGGUGGACGUCGGGACCAACGAGAGAGAACCGAGGUUGUUCACGAGUGUAGAGCCAUGGCAGCUUCACAAUAAGGCAAACCUCGGGGCCCCACACACCACGCCACGGAGGGCUACGUGGGGUGCGCCUUAAGUUCCACAGUCUUCCGAUUCUUUAGGGCCCCGAACGGACAGUGGGAGGCAGAGAAGGUCAUCAGCAUCCCUCCCAAGAAGGUAACGGGCUGGGCCAUGGAUACGAUGCCAGGUUUGAUCACGGAUAUUCUGAUAUCCCUGGACGAUAGAUAUCUAUACUUCAGCAACUGGCUGCACGGAGAUAUCCGUCAGUAUGACAUCACAGACAGGAGGAAUCCUAAACUCGUGGGACAGGUAUUUUUGGGAGGAAGCGUUUGUAAAGGCGGAAGCGUCAAGGUGACCAGUGAUCCGGAGCUGAAGAGUCAACCGGAUCCAGUGUAUGUGAAGGGACAGCGCCUGCGCGGAGGACCCCAGAUGAUUCAACUGAGUCUUGAUGGCAAGAGGUUGUACGUGACGACCUCGCUUUUUGCCAAGUGGGACGACCAGUUUUAUCCCGAGUUAGCCAAGGAAGGCUGCCAGAUGUACAUACUGGACGUCAACAACGUCACAGGGGGUCUGUCCCUGAACCCCAACUUCCUGGUGGACUUUGGCAAGGAGCCCCAGGGGCCCAUGUUGGCCCACGAGGUGAGGUACCCAGGUGGAGACUGCAGCUCCGACAUCUGGCUGGCCCAUACUGGCGUGAAGAACAAGAUGUAGAGUGACCACAAUUUAGGCUGAAGGCAACCAUCUUGUUUCUAGAGGCUUGAACAAUAUAUAUUUCAGCUUUAAAAGCUGCGCAAUAGGUAUCUAACCUUGAUUUGUUCAGACAUUUUAAUUUUGCAGAUUUAUGAUGUGCUUUAAUGAUUUUUUUUUCCACUUCAAUAUUUUUUGUUACAUUGUAUAUACAUGUACAUGCUGUUAUGAUUGUUAGAUAUUUGAAAUUAUAUAAAAUGAUUAUACACCUAUAUAUGUUUAAAUAAAAUUCAUUGCUUU
rnacentral:misc_RNA from 1 species